AACCUUAUAUCACGGGGGCCGGCCUUGAAUUGCUUGCAGUUCUCCCCGCCCUGUCGGAACAUUACCCAUGAUUUUUGCGUACCCAUUGUUUCCUCGGCAGGCUUGCCUGCCAGUAGGACCUCUUUAAACCUUUUUGCAAUUGUAGUCAGCGUCAGAAAAACUUUAAUAGUUA
rnacentral:misc_RNA from 1 species